GAUCCUGGCUCAGAUUGAACGCUGGCGGCAGGCCUAACACAUGCAAGUCGAACGGUAACAGAAAGCAGCUUGCUGCUUUGCUGACGAGUGGCGGACGGGUGAGUAAUGUCUGGGAAACUGCCCGAUGGAGGGGGAUAACUACUGGAAACGGUAGCUAAUACCGCAUAACGUCGAAAGACCAAAGAGGGGGACCUUAGGGCCUCUUGCCAUCGGAUGUGCCCAGAUGGGAUUAGCUAGUAGGUGGGGUAACGG
rnacentral:rRNA from 1 species